rnacentral:rRNA from 4 species
GGUUAAGUUAGAAAGGGCGCACGGUGGAUGCCUUGGCACUAGGAGCCGAUGAAGGACGGGACGAACACCGAUAUGCUUCGGGGAGCUGUAAGCAAGCUUUGAUCCGGAGAUUUCCGAAUGGGGAAACCCACCACUCGUAAUGGAGUGGUAUCCAUAUCUGAAUACAUAGGAUAUGAGAAGGCAGACCCGGGGAACUGAAACAUCUAAGUACCCGGAGGAAGAGAAAGCAAAUGCGAUUCCCUGAGUAGCGGCGAGCGAAACGGGACCAGCCCAAACCAAGAGGCUUGCCUCUUGGGGUUGUAGGACACUCUGUACGGAGUUACAAAGGAACGAGGUAGAUGAAGAGGUCUGGAAAGGCCCGCCAUAGAAGGUAACAGCCCUGUAGUCAAAACUUCGUUCUCUCCUGAGUGGAUCCUGAGUACGGCGGAACACGUGAAAUUCCGUCGGAAUCCGGGAGGACCAUCUCCCAAGGCUAAAUACUCCCUAGUGACCGAUAGUGAACCAGUACCGUGAGGGAAAGGUGAAAAGCACCCCGGAAGGGGAGUGAAAGAGAUCCUGAAACCGUGUGCCUACAAGUAGUCAGAGCCCGUUAACGGGUGAUGGCGUGCCUUUUGUAGAAUGAACCGGCGAGUUACGAUCCCGUGCAAGGUUAAGCAGAAGAUGCGGAGCCGCAGCGAAAGCGAGUCUGAAUAGGGCGAAUUGAGUACGUGGUCGUAGACCCGAAACCAGGUGAUCUACCCAUGUCCAGGGUGAAGUUCAGGUAACACUGAAUGGAGGCCCGAACCCACGCACGUUGAAAAGUGCGGGGAUGAGGUGUGGGUAGGGGUGAAAUGCCAAUCGAACCUGGAGAUAGCUGGUUCUCUCCGAAAUAGCUUUAGGGCUAGCCUCAAGGUAAGAGUCUCGGAGGUAGAGCACUGAUUGGACUAGGGGCCCCUACCGGGUUACCGAAUUCAGUCAAACUCCGAAUGCCGAUGACUUAUCCUUGGGAGUCAGACUGCGAGUGAUAAGAUCCGUAGUCGAAAGGGAAACAGCCCAGACCGCCAGCUAAGGUCCCAAAGUAUACGUUAAGUGGAAAAGGAUGUGGAGUUGCUUAGACAACCAGGAUGUUGGCUUAGAAGCAGCCACCAUUUAAAGAGUGCGUAAUAGCUCACUGGUCGAGUGACUCUGCGCCGAAAAUGUACCGGGGCUAAACGUAUCACCGAAGCUGCGGACUGUUCUUCGAACAGUGGUAGGAGAGCGUUCUAAGGGCUGUGAAGCAAGACCGGAAGGACUUGUGGAGCGCUUAGAAGUGAGAAUGCCGGUAUGAGUAGCGAAAGAGGGGUGAGAAUCCCCUCCACCGAAUGCCUAAGGUUUCCUGAGGAAGGCUCGUCCGCUCAGGGUUAGUCGGGACCUAAGCCGAGGCCGAAAGGCGUAGGCGAUGGAUAACAGGUUGAUAUUCCUGUACCACCUCCUCACCAUUUGAGCAAUGGGGGGACGCAGGAGGAUAGGGUAAGCGCGGUAUUGGAUAUCCGCGUCCAAGCAGUUAGGCUGGGAAAUAGGCAAAUCCGUUUCCCGUGAAGGCUGAGCUGUGAUGGCGAGCGAAUUAUAGUAGCGAAGUUCCUGAUUCCACACUGCCAAGAAAAGCCUCUAGCGAGGUGAGAGGUGCCCGUACCGCAAACCGACACAGGUAGGCGAGGAGAGAAUCCUAAGGUGAUCGAGAGAACUCUCGUUAAGGAACUCGGCAAAAUGACCCCGUAACUUCGGGAGAAGGGGUGCUCUGUUAGGGUGCAAGCCCGAGAGAGCCGCAGUGAAUAGGCCCAGGCGACUGUUUAGCAAAAACACAGGUCUCUGCGAAGCCGUAAGGCGAAGUAUAGGGGCUGACGCCUGCCCGGUGCUGGAAGGUUAAGAGGAGCGCUUAGCGUAAGCGAAGGUGCGAAUUGAAGCCCCAGUAAACGGCGGCCGUAACUAUAACGGUCCUAAGGUAGCGAAAUUCCUUGUCGGGUAAGUUCCGACCCGCACGAAAGGCGCAACGAUCUGGGCACUGUCUCAACGAGAGACUCGGUGAAAUUAUAGUACCUGUGAAGAUGCAGGUUACCCGCGACAGGACGGAAAGACCCCGUGGAGCUUUACUGCAGCCUGAUAUUGAAUGUUGGUACAGCUUGUACAGGAUAGGUAGGAGCCUUGGAAACCGGAGCGCCAGCUUCGGUGGAGGCAUCGGUGGGAUACUACCCUGGCUGUAUUGACCUUCUAACCCGCCGCCCUUAUCGGGCGGGGAGACAGUGUCAGGUGGGCAGUUUGACUGGGGCGGUCGCCUCCUAAAAGGUAACGGAGGCGCCCAAAGGUUCCCUCAGAAUGGUUGGAAAUCAUUCGCAGAGUGUAAAGGCACAAGGGAGCUUGACUGCGAGACCUACAAGUCGAGCAGGGACGAAAGUCGGGCUUAGUGAUCCGGUGGUUCCGCAUGGAAGGGCCAUCGCUCAACGGAUAAAAGCUACCCCGGGGAUAACAGGCUUAUCUCCCCCAAGAGUCCACAUCGACGGGGAGGUUUGGCACCUCGAUGUCGGCUCAUCGCAUCCUGGGGCUGUAGUCGGUCCCAAGGGUUGGGCUGUUCGCCCAUUAAAGCGGUACGCGAGCUGGGUUCAGAACGUCGUGAGACAGUUCGGUCCCUAUCCGUCGCGGGCGCAGGAAAUUUGAGAGGAGCUGUCCUUAGUACGAGAGGACCGGGAUGGACGCACCGCUGGUGUACCAGUUGUUCUGCCAAGGGCAUCGCUGGGUAGCUAUGUGCGGACGGGAUAAGUGCUGAAAGCAUCUAAGCAUGAAGCCCCCCUCAAGAUGAGAUUUCCCAUUCCGCAAGGAAGUAAGAUCCCUGAAAGAUGAUCAGGUUGAUAGGUCUGAGGUGGAAGUGUGGCGACACAUGGAGCUGACAGAUACUAAUCGAUCGAGGACUUAACCAA